rnacentral:miRNA from 1 species
UUAGCCAGCUGAGUGGGGAGGAGAGAGCGACAGAGAGUUGCUUGCUUUAAACGAGCCAACACUCGUGUAAGCGGUUCCUCUCCUCUCCCGCUUUGCUCCUUUAAAGCAAGCAGGCUCUCUGUCCCUCUCUCCUCCCCACUCAGUGGCUCU